AAUGAACGCUGGCGGCGUGCUUAACACAUGCAAGUCGUACGAGAAAUCUUUGGGCUUGCUCGAAGAGAGUAAAGUGGCGCACGGGUGAGUAACGCGUGGGUAAUUUGCCUUCAAAUCGGGGAUAACGUGCCGAAAGGCGUGCUAAUACCGGAUGAAAUCGCAUUGACAAUGGUUGAAGUGAUCAAAGGUGGCCAAUUCAAGAAAGCUACUGUUUGGAGAUAAGCCCGCGUACCAUUAGCUAGUUGGCAGGGUAAAGGCCUACCAAGGCGACGAUGGUUAGCUGGUCUGAGAGGAUGACCAGCCACACUGGAACUGACACACGGUCCAGACUCCUACGGGAGGCAG
rnacentral:rRNA from 1 species